UAUUGUCUCGCUCGGUUGUAUCGUCUCUCUCUCGCUCAGGCUAGUUCGUUCUGUUGUGUUGGAAAUUUGCAGCUCGGCUGUUUAAUUCUCCAGUAACCUUCCAAGAGACACCCAUCGCUGUGUCUGCUGCUUGGAUUUUUAAUGCCAGAUGCAACAGGAUUAGCAGAUCGCUCCGAGGCGCUAUCGCUAUCCUGGCAUUAUCACGGGAGGAGGCGGGGGAGGGGGGGGACAAAUAGGCAUUGUGGAAGCGAGACGUGCAGGCAAAAUAAUCUCGCUCGAAAACUGCUGCAGCAGGGCAGGAAAUUGCUGUGCAAACACCAGGUGGCUGGUGACACAGCAUGCCUUUGUUCCUAACCCCUGAAUCAAACAUCAAAUAGCCACUGGUUUCAGUGUUUGCUUCUCAAGAGAUGUCUGCAACCAGAGGCAAUGGAGAACACUGGAAGUCCUUGGAAUCCGUGGGGAUCAGCCGUAAGGAGCUGGCUCUUGCGGAAGCCCUGCAGAUGGAGUAUGAUGCCCUGUCCCGCCUGAGGCAGGAUAAAGAGGAGAGCCAGGCUAAGCAAAAUACUGACCAACCUCUCAUUUCCUGGGAUGAUCCAAUUCUGGAUUACAACAAACCUGUCAGGAAUGACUGCCAUAAUAUCAAGGUCAUGCGAGGCCUUUCUGGCUCAGACCCCACCCUUAAUUACAAUGCCCUCUCUGGCCAGGAGGUUUCAAGAGCUUUUGGGACCAACAAUACUACCUCAUCAAGCCUGCUGCCUGAGUCAGAGAAUCAACCUUGGUUGAAGGGACCUCUCUCUAGUGACUACUUGUAUAUCUUCGACAGCUCAGGGGGAGAGUUCCUGACUGAGCCCAGUAGAACAUCUCAUCACAAUAGUGGUGGCAGCAACUCCCCCAAGAAGCUUUCUCCUCCCCCCUUGCCUCCUCGCAUUGCUAUCUGGAAUGCUUCUGAUGUGAAUCAAACUUCACUUAAAGAGUCCCAGCCCAAUGAUAUCAAUAUGUUUUCCUCAGCCCAUGAGAGAGCUGAUGGAAAAUUGCUAGGCCGUAGAAUCUCAGAGGAAGACCCAUAUAGCACUGUGGACUAUGAUGGCAUCAAUGAUGCUAUCACAAGACUAAACCUCAAGUCCACAUAUGACACUGACCUUCUGAGGGAAGCAACAUGGAGCUGGAAAGGAGGUCGAGGUAUAUUUGAGAAAGAAAGCAGUGGAAAGCCAGUUGCUCGCAGCAAGACCAUGCCUCCCCAAGUCCCUCCCAGAACCUAUGUCUCCAGGUUUGGUGAACGGAAGAAUGUUGCACCUAACAAGAACCGGAGGAUCUCGGCAGAUCCGUGCCAGGGCACUUCUCGGCAUUAUCCUGUGGCUAACGGCUAUGAGCUGUUUGAGGUCUCUGAGGAGAAGGAUGAAGAGGUUGCUGCUUUCUGUCAUAUGUUGGAUGUUUUGAGAUCUGGCUACAGUACCAAGGACUACUCCCUUACUGGUUAUGUCUGGAGCACUGUCAACCUCAGUCCUGAACACCUUGGCUAUGGGGUCAGCUUGAAAGUGACGGUGGUUUACGACAGCCUGCAGGAGCCUCUCACCUUCACCUGUGACUGUUCUUCCACAGUGGACUUGCUCAUUUAUCAGACGUUGUGCUACACUCAUGAUGACUUACAUGACAUAGAUGUGGAUGACUUUGUGCUCAAACUGUGUGGCCUGGAGGAAUUCCUGCAAAACAAACACCCGCUGGGAAGCCAUGAAUACAUCCAGCACUGCAGGAAGUUUGACAUUGACAUCCGGCUGCAGCUGCUGAAGAGGAAGGCUGUGCACAGUGACUUGGCUCGGACACCAAAUGAUGAUCAGAGUCCUUCCACGCUCAACCACUAUGUUCACCUCCAGGAGAGGCCGAUCAAGCAGACCAUCAGCAGGCAGGCCUUGAGCCUUCUCUUUGACACCUUUCAUAAUGAGGUGGAUGCAUUCCUAGCUGCUGAGGGAGACUUCCAGCUGAAGGCCGAGCGGGUGAUCCAGUCUGUCAUGGCCAUUUGCAGUGCUCUAGCUGCCGUGGAGUCUCAGGAGAUCACAGGUGCCCUGAAUCAGCUGCCACCCUGUCCAUCUCGCAUGCAGCCCAAGAUCCAGAAGGAUCCAAACGUUUUGGCCUUGAGGGAAAAUAGAGAGAAGGUUGUAGAGGCUUUGACGGCCUCCAUCUUGGAUCUGGUGGAGCUCUAUUGCAACACAUUCAAUGCAGACUUCCAGACUGUGAUACAUGGGAACAGAAAGUAUUAUCUUAGCCAAGAGGCCCGACUCCUUACGUGUCCCCUCUCCUUCACAGUCUAUGCCGCUCAUCGCAUACCCAUCACCUGGGCUGCAAGCUAUGAAGAUUUCUACCUCUCCUGCUCCCUCAGCCAUGGUGGAAAGGAGCUAUGCAGCCCUCUGCAAACCAGAAAAGCUCAUGUAUACAAGUACCUUUUCCAUCUUAUCAUCUGGGACCAGCAGAUCUGCUUUCCAAUUCAAGUGAACCGUCUGCCACGGGAGUCUCUUUUGACAGCCACUCUCUAUGCUGUUCCAAUCCCACCUCCUGGGAGCUCUUCAGAGACAAAUAAGCAGCGCCGGAAUCCAGAGGCCUUGGGCUGGGUUACCACACCUCUUUUCAACUUUAGGCAGGUUCUGACCUGUGGGCGAAAACUCCUGGGUUUGUGGCCAGCAACUCAAGUCCCCUCCAGUGCCAGAUCAAGUGCUCCCAACUUCAACCAACCUGACAGUGUUAUUCUGCAGAUUGAUUUUCCCAGCUCAGCGUUUGAAGUCAAGUUUACUAGUCCACCUGCAGCAGACUUCAGUCCAAAGUACAACUUCCACAGCCUCCUUGAGGAAGACCAGCGGAAGUUGAAGGAGGUGAUGCAGAAGGAAUCACUGUAUUGGCUAACAGAUGCUGACCGGAAACGGCUGUGGGAGAAGCGUUAUUAUUGCCAUUCUGAAGCUGGCUCGUUGCCUCUGCUGCUUGCUAGUGCUCCGAGUUGGGAGUGGGCAUGCUUGCCAGAUAUCUAUGCUCUGCUAAAGCAAUGGACACACAUGAACCAUCAGGAUGCCCUUGGACUCUUACAUGCAGCGUUCCCAGACCAGGAAGUGAGGAGGACAGCUGUGCGAUGGAUCGAUUCCAUAUCUGAUGCUGAGCUACUUGAUUAUCUGCCCCAGUUGGUACAGGCACUAAAAUAUGAAUGUUACCUGGACAGUCCUCUGGUGCGGUUUCUAAUGAAGCGAGCCAUCUGUGACCUGCGGAUUACCCACUAUUUCUUCUGGCUGCUGAAGGAUGGACUUAAGGAUUCUCAGUUCAGCAUCCGUUACCAGUAUCUGCUGGCAGCUCUGCUGUGUUGUUGUGGGAAGGGCUUGCGAGAGGAGUUUGACCGGCAAUGCUGGCUUGUUAAUACCCUAGCUAAGCUGGCUCAGCAGGUCCGUGAGGCUGCUCCAUCAUCACGACAGGCCAUCCUCAGGGAGGGACUAGAGGAUGUAAAGCAGUUCUUCAAUGUCAAUGGCUCUUGCCGCCUGCCACUUAGUCCAAGCCUGCUUGUGAAGGGGAUUGUGCCCAAGGAUUGCUCCUAUUUCAAUUCCAAUGCUGUCCCUCUGAAGCUCUCCUUCCAGAACGUUGAUCCUCUUGGAGAGAAUAUCCGUGUUAUUUUUAAGUGUGGAGAUGAUCUCCGGCAGGAUAUGCUAACGUUGCAGAUGAUUCGCAUAAUGAACAAAAUUUGGGUGCAAGAAGGUUUGGACAUGCGCAUGGUCAUAUUCCGUUGUUUUUCAACAGGCCGUGGUCGUGGGAUGGUGGAGAUGAUCCCCAAUGCAGAAACCCUGCGAAAGAUCCAAGUGGAGCAUGGGGUGACAGGCUCCUUCAAGGACCGUCCUCUCGCAGACUGGCUGCAAAAGCACAACCCUAAGGAGGAUGAAUAUGAGAAGGCUGUGGAGAACUUCAUCUACUCAUGUGCUGGCUGCUGUGUAGCCACUUAUGUACUGGGAAUCUGUGACCGGCAUAAUGACAACAUAAUGCUCAAGACCACUGGCCACAUGUUCCACAUAGACUUUGGCAGGUUUCUGGGCCAUGCCCAAAUGUUUGGCAACAUCAAGAGAGACCGAGCUCCAUUUGUCUUCACGUCAGAUAUGGCGUAUGUCAUCAAUGGUGGGGACAAGCCUUCCAGCCGUUUCCAUGACUUUGUUGAUCUCUGCUGCCAGGCCUACAACCUGAUCCGCAAGCAUACCCAUCUCUUCCUCAAUCUCCUGGGUUUGAUGCUAUCCUGUGGGAUCCCUGAGUUGUCUGACCUUGAGGACCUAAAGUAUGUCUAUGAUGCACUGAGACCACAGGACUCUGAGGCAGAUGCCACUACCUAUUUCACCAGGUUGAUAGAGUCCAGUCUGGGCAGUGUAGCCACGAAGCUCAACUUCUUCAUUCACAAUCUGGCACAGAUGAAAUUCACAGCUUCAGACUCCCGGCCAACACUUUCCUUUGCUCCCCGUGUGCACACUAUCAAGACAUCUAGCAGGAUCGUUGAUGUCUUCUUGUGGCGUCAUGAAAAAGUCUUCAAUCCCAGCAAGGGCUAUAUAUACAUUGUGAAAGUGAAGCGGGAGAACCCAUCUGAGAUCACUUAUAUCCAGCGCACUUUUGAGGAGUUCCAGGAGUUGCAUAACAAGCUGCGCCUCAUUGUUCCUUCCUCUCUUUUACCCAGCUUCCCCAGCAGGUUUGUGAUUGGACGCUCACGAGGGGAGGCAGUUGCAGAAAAAAGGAAAGAGGAACUAAAUGGCUACAUCUGGAAUCUACUCCAUGCUGCCCCUGAAGUGGCUGAGUCUGAUCUGCUGUAUACAUUUUUCCACCCCCUUCCAAGGGAUGAUGUGGCUGCAGGAACCAACCCAGCUCCAAAGCCUUCAGAUGCUACAUGGUCCCAACCUGUUGAGAAGAUGGGUGGAGAAGUGAAGCUGUCGAUCUCCUACAAGAACAACAAGCUCUUUAUCAUGGUGAUGCACAUCCGAGGUCUGCAACCUCUUCAGGAUGGCAGUGACCCUGACCCUUAUGUUAAGAUCUACCUUCUGCCUGAUCCCCAGAAAACUACCAAAAGGAAAACUAAAGUUGCUCGAAAGACCUGCAACCCAACUUACAAUGAAAUGCUUAUCUAUGAUGGGAUUCCAAAAGGAGACCUCCACCAGCGGGAGCUGCGUCUCAGUGUCCUGAGUGAAGAGGGCUUCUGGGAGAACAUCCUCCUUGGGGAGGUCAUUAUCAGACUACGGGAUCUGGAUCUGACAAGGGAGAAGAUGGGCUGGUUUGAGUUGGGCUCUAGGAGCCAUGGGACCAUGUGAGGAGCAGUAAGGCAACAGUGCAUUUGGAACCACUCUGGCCCCACGGGAGUCCCUGGGAAUUGGUGCACGUUCCAGGAGUUGUAUCCUGGUAUAUCUGAAAGGAUUUCGUUUCCUGCAAAUAAGAACAAUGGAUAUAUAGUUUCUUUGUAAAUGAAGGGUUAAUUUCCUGUGGAGAGUGAGCACUUGGGGUUGAGCCAUGAUGGGAAAUCCUAUUAUGACUUGAAAUGGCUGCCAUAGACUUGUCGUUUUAUAAAUUUACCUUGUGUCAAGGGAGCAAUGAAUUAUAGAGAGGGAGGGGUAAAAUAUUAGAGGGUGUUUUUCUUUGGGGAUAUUUUAAUUUUUUAAAAAAGUUAAAAAAAAAUUCAGUCUAGAUAGGACUUAAGACCUUGCCGGGUGGGGGCUAUAUUGUCAAUGAGGUUCUUACUGGACUUUCUCAAAGGUUUUUUUUUUUUAAAUUUUUAAAGGAUUAUGUGCAUAAGAACUUGGGUGGAGGCAAGGGUGGGGGGAGGGGAAAGAUACUUUGGGUGGGUAUGAAUAGUAUAUUAAACCCUUAACUCUGGGAUAGGAGCUGGUGUGCUCCAACUUAAGCCAUCUUGGAGAAUUUGCUUCCAAAGGAGAGCUGUGUAAUUUGUACAAGUGUAGAGCUUACAAUUCCUGAUUUUCUGCUAGGAGAUGUAACCUAGGAAACAUGCUGUCUUCAACUAACAUCUGCACUUGUCUCUUAGAGGCAGAAGGCGACCAUGUUACUCUUGAUUCCAAACAUUUACCAGCAAAGGCCUUGACCACAGCAAGCAUCUGGCAGCUGUGUUACUUCUACGUUCCUUGCUUGCUGUGCUGAAGUGUUUCUCAUGUUGUUUUUCCCAGUCAGUCAGAGGAACUGGAUCUGCUUGAUGGGAUGAGUUGCAUUAAGUCUUGAAAAGAGAUACAUUGCAUGGAUGCAAGCAGAACACAUUUGUCUUAUCCUCCCUAGACAGUUAAUUAGCAUAAGCACUGUUGAUAGAAAUUGGUCUCCAGUGUUGUAGGCUACCUAAUUCCAUUGGCUAAAAUGCAGAUUACACUACUUUUACAACCUUAAUAGAUGAGCCCUUUAUUAACACCAUAGGCUCUUCUUCCAAGAUGGUGGAUUGGAGGCAAGAGGCAAGACAAACUUGUAGGAUAGGGUUGCCAGACCCCCUGG